CCGGCGGUGACAGAGUGGCCAAAUGUACCUGACUGUAAAUCAGGCGGGUUAAUCCCUACGUAGGUUCGAAUCCUACCCGCCGGA
rnacentral:tRNA from 1 species